GUAUGCAUUAUUCAUUUGGUAAUAAUCUUAUUGUUGUGUUGGUUAAUAAAAGAGACGAAGUUUUUGCAGCAAGAAUAGCUGAUCUUAAGCGUUCGUCUAUUAAAUAUUCUAUAAAACUUAUAGUCAGGUUGAAAGUGUCUAACGACUAAUUUUAAGAAUUCCCUACCUAUAUUUGU